GCCUGAGACCACUGCCUGGAACCUCCAUGUCCUUACCCAAGAGCCCUGACUCCAGUGCCAACCUGUUUUGGGGUAUCUGCCUUCCACCUCCUUAUCCAUGGAACAAGCCAAGCUACUCUAAGACUCUGGAUCCUUCCUGCAGACACCCAUCCAUGCCCCGCCUAGCCAGUGCCUCACCUUCAUACCCUGAUAUGCCAAUCAUGCUCAGCAUCUCUGUAGCCCAUACAAGGGUCUGAAGGCUGUGACACAGAUGAUGGUUCUCUUCGCGGAUAGAGUUGCAGAACUGGAAACCUGCUUUCCUCGGCUCCCAAGGCUCAGAGGCUUCGCAGUGUUUCCUGUUCCUUAAUUUUUCUCCGAAUCCCUCAUUAAGCCUCAUAGAGAGCAAGUUCGGCUCACUGCCUCUUUUGGUCCUGACACCUGAACACUCAUAUCUGCUCCAUCCAUAAUAACUUCUCUAGAGCUCUUCACAGCGUGAGAGGCCUUACACUUUCAGUUUCUCAUCUAAUCUUUCCAGCAAAGCUGUGAGAUAGGAUUAUUAUAUUCUUUCUUGACAGCUAAGAAUGAGGGGCUCAUAGAGAUUUCAUGAAUGGUCCAAGACCUCACGGGGAUGGGGGAUGGGGCGGCUGAGACCUACAUUUUUCCUCUCCUGCACAAUCUUCAACAAGAAAUUAAAGGGAAGUUCUGUUUCUCCCAGUAUAGUCAUUGCUCCCCUAAAAAGUCACAACACCCACUCCCUUGGGCUUGCUAAAACAUCUGGGAGGUUUCAACCUAUGCUCUCAUCUGUCUCUUACACAAUUCACAGCAUAGCUAAGCAGGGCAGCCCAUGCAGCAAUCACAGUACUGGAGAGGUGGCUGCAGGACGAUCAGAAAUACAAAGGAAGUUCUGGCUACACAGCAAAUUCAAGCCUAGCCCUGGCUACAUUUGAGACCUUGUCCCAAAAGAACUGAAACAAGGGCCAGAGAGAUGACUCUGUGGUUAAGAGCACUUGCUGUUCUUACGGGGGUUGAGUUUCCAGCGCCCACAUGGCAGUUCACAACCAUCUAUAACUCAAAUUCUAAGGGUCUAACACUAUCUUUGGCCUCUACAGGUAUGUGGUAAAUAAACAUAUAUUCUUAUAUGCAUAUACACAGACAAAGCACUCAUACAGUAAAGUAAGUCUCCAAAAAAAAGGUUCUAAGCUAUAUUUUAAUUUAAACAAUAAACUAUAACAAUAAAUAGACAACUACACAUAAAAUGAAAAGAAACCCAAAGAAUUUUCCCUGCAUAUAGGUCUGUGUACCAUGUGUGUGCAGUACCACAGCCAGAAUAGGGCAUUGUAGUCCCUGGAACUGGAGUCGUGGAUGGUUGUUAGCCAUCAUUUGAGUGCUAGGAAUCAAAGCCAAGGUCUCUGGAAAAAUAUCCAGUGCUCUCAACCAUUGAAUCGUCUCUUAAACAAGUCUUUAAAAGGAAAAGGAUAUGAGUUGCUUAAGAAACUGGAAAAAUAAAUAAAAAACAAAUAACAAAGUUCACAGAGCUCAGACAAGAACACAAGAGUACCAGAAUGACAGUUUAAAUACAGGGCACUUGCACCAUGAGAUAUUACCCAGUAAUUGAGGAAAAUAAAAUGAUGAAAUUUGCAGGUAAAUGGGUAGAACUGGAAGCUAUCCUCCUGCAUGAUGCAACCCAGACACAGAAAGACAAAUACUGUGUGGUUUUGCUCAGGUAUGAACGUUAGCUUUGAAUCUUAGGAUGUGCACAUUUCAUUUGGAAUACCCAUAAAGGUUAGGAUACUACUAAGGGACCAUGGAAGGGAAUCCUUCAAGAGAGGGAAGACAGAAGACAGUGCUGUAAAGGUGGAAAGGAGAAUAAGAAAUCAGGAAAGGUUAAAGGGCAUGGAGGACAAGAAGAUGGUAGAGGAGAGACUAUGAAGAGCAGUAACUAACACUAAAGACUUUUCAAACAGUUGUAUGGAAAUCUACUACUGUAGACAUUGUAUUCAAUAUGCAUAUAUAAAUAUAAAGAAUUUAAAUGGAAUUACCCUAUAAUGAGAGCAAGGAACCAUAGCCUUACUAGAUACUCCAUGCUAGCAAAUUAAAACUCCAAUACUAGAAAUAGGUUACCUCUUUUUGAGCUGUUGAUCAGUAGGGCGUCAUAAGCCCCCAAACAUUACAGGCUACUGUCACUGCUCUUGGUUACCCUCCAGAACUUGAUGGUGAGACUCUAUUGCUGAAGACACCACAUACUUGCAUCAAAGAUGCAGAGAAACAAAAUUGGCACUAAACUGGAAGCUUCUCCCCACUGACUGGCUUCCACAGUGCUGGAAUGUACUGCGCGUGCGACCAGAGGUGAUCAGUAAUCCUCAGUUUCACUGAGCUGUGAACCCUGCGAGCUACAGCAACAACUACCCUGGCAAGACCACCUACUGCUGCUGCAGUGGCAUGAAUGUUAAUGGGAGUAACUAAACAUUUCAUGACUCAAUUUAUGGGCUACUCCAUGGCGUGGAACCUGUGCCUGGCGCCAUGACCGGGUCUAAGAACCUGAGGCUAGACAUGUCAUAGGCCCAGGGAAGAACCUAGUACUAUUAUUCUGAUAC
rnacentral:lncRNA from 1 species